UACGGAGGGGGCAAGCGUUGUUCGGAAUUACUGGGCGUAAAGGGCGCGCAGGCGGCUGCUCAAGUCAGGCGUGAAAGGCCUGGGCUCAACCCGGGAAUUGCGCUUGAGACUGGGCUGGCUUGAGUGCGGGAGAGGAUGGUGGAAUUCCUGGUGUAGCGGUGAAAUGCGUAGAUAUCGAGAGGAACACCUGCGGCGAAGGCGGGUUGCUGGGCCGACACUGACGCUGAUGCGCGAAAGCCAGGGGAGCGAACGGG
rnacentral:rRNA from 1 species